rnacentral:rRNA from 1 species
AACGAACGCUGGCGGCAUGCCUAACACAUGCGAGUCGAACGAGACCUUCGGGUCUAGUGGCGCACGGGUGCGUAACGCGUGGGAACCUGCCCUUAGGUUCGGAAUAACUCCCCGAAAGGGGUGCUAAUACCGGAUAAUGUUUUCGGACCAAAGAUUUAUCGCCUUUGGAUGGGCCCGCGUUGGAUUAGCUAGUUGGUAGGGUAAAAGCCUACCAAGGCGACGAUCCAUAGCUGGUCUGAGAGGAUGAUCAGCCACACUGGGACUGAGACACGGCCCAGACUCCUACGGGAGGCAGCAGUGGGGAAUAUUGGACAAUGGGCGAAAGCCUGAUUCAGCAAUGCCGCGUGAGUGAUGAAGGCCUUAGGGUUGUAAAGCUCUUUUACCCGGGAUGAUAAUGACAGUACCGGGAGAAUAAGCUCCGGCUAACUCCGUG